rnacentral:rRNA from 1 species
AACGUAGGUGGCGAGCGUUAUCCGGAUUUACUGGGCGUAAAGCGCGUUCAGGCGGUCUGGCAAGUCGGGCAUGAAAUCUCUCGGCUCAACCGGGAGAGGCUGUCCGAUACUUCCAGACUUGAGGGCAGUAGAGGGUGGUGGAAUUCCGCAUGUAGUGGUGAAAUGCGUAGAUAUGCGGAGGAACACCAGUGGCGAAGGCGGCCACCUGGACUGCACCUGACGCUAAAACGCGAAAGCUAGGGGAGCGAACGGG